GGUCCCCUGUGUCUGGGUGCCUGGUGUGGAGUCUGUUCCUCUCUCUUCCGCAUACUUAUGGCAUCCCUCCCUUUUGUGGUUGGUCUCACAGGUUAGUUUGAUUGUUGACUACAUCUCUGCCCUUCCGUCCAUUUUCAAUGUGGCCUCUUCUCUAUGAUGAACUGUGAAGAGUCUGUUCUGCCAAGACUCCACAUGAUUUUCUGGGUUAGUUACGCUGAUGUGGGUGUUAUCUACCUGUGUUCAUGGUCCAAGUUGCUAAGAGACAUCUUAAAGUCCUUAUCAAAAGAAAAACAAAUUUCUACAUAUGGAUGGUGAUGACUGUUAACUAGACAUACUGUGGCUUGUGUGUGAAACAAGAACUGAAGUGCUCACAGAUGAGGCAGUGAUUAGCAUCCAAACCUACCCCAUGCCAAGCAAGAGCUGUUGUUGCUGCGAUCCAAAGUUAUCUAGGUGAUCACUGACAAAUAGCUUCCCCCAGAACAUGAGAAAUCUCCAGCCACCUGCUCUUUCUUGGCUGGUGGAGUGAAACAGAUUUCCCAGUCUACUGGCUCUGCUAAACUGUGAGUUCCAGGUAAGCCAAAGCCACUCUUCCAGCCAUUGAAAGAAAAAAAUGACCUCAGUCAGCAGGAGGACUCUCUCCUGCCAGAAGAAAGGAAAAGAGACUUGAGAAAUCAUUUAACCCAAGACCCUCAUUGUACAGAUCAGAAUUCAGGUCAAGUGCUUCGCCUAAGUCAUAAAUCAGUUAUUUUAUUGCAAAAACAGUAUGAGCAAAAACCUCUCUGGUUAAAUUAAAGAUCUUCCCAGGGGGGCAUCAUGAUGUAUGUAAUGAGCAGAGUACUGGUAUUGAUUGAGACUCUCUUGGCUUGUAUUUUAAUUCUUCAAUUAUAUAUAAGCUACCAAGGUAACCUUUAGCAACUUCAGUUUCCUUGAUGCUACCUUACAGGGUCAUUUUGAAGAGUACGUGUGACAAUUCACAUAAUAGUCAUGUAAUUGCAACAUGUAAUUGUUAUGUAAUUGUACAUAAAUUAAGUACAUGCUAGCAAUUAUUAUUAUUAUUCAGUGGCCCAGGAAAUGUAAACCUAUCAGCUAUCUACUGAUAUCUUCAAAAGAAGAGGACAUCCUACAAGGAACUGUGAAGUCAAAUAAAUUUACAAAAUUUAAAGCUAAAUAGUUGGUCUAGAUCACCAACUAUUCAGUCUUUUUAAAAUUCUCUCUUCCUUAUCUUUGGAAUGACUAUCCAAAGACUUCAGCAAAUGCAACUGGCCCAGAAAUGUAACCACAUAUAAUAUAGAACUUAAAAAAUAAAGGUUUUUAUUUCCAUCUAAAA